rnacentral:rRNA from 1 species
UACGUAGGGUGCAAGCGUUGUCCGGAAUUAUUGGGCGUAAAGAGCGUGUAGGCGGCCCGAUUAGUCCGCUGUGAAAGUCCAGGGCUCAACCCUGGAAUGCCGGUGGAUACUGUCGGGCUAGAGUCCGGAAGGGGCGAGUGGAAUUCCUGGUGUAGCGGUGAAAUGCGCAGAUAUCAGGAGGAACACCAAUGGCGAAGGCAGCUCGCUGGGCCAUAACUGACGCUAAGACUCGAAAGCAUGGGUAGCGAACGGG